GAUGACUUUGGGAUGGCACUCCCCAACCUUAGGUGAUGCCGAAAACACUUCGAGACGCGCUCUCGUGCUAAUCUUGUCGCCGCUUAAUUUUUGUUGGGUUAGCUUUAACCCUAUAGCACUUCAAAUGGUGAUAUCUUCGCGCUCGAUUUUCGUAUCGACGAACCGUCUUCGCCUACGCGUUUAUAAGCAUAAGAAUUAGGUUUCCGACCCAUCAAAAUAGAUCAAAACCCUUUAAUCCCAAAAACCCCAAAAUCCAACCCUAGGUUUUGCACCCAAGGGAAUCCAUGGUUUCUAGCUUCAAUGUGAGCUAAAUUCAUGUCCUCUAAACUCAUUAGAUUCCAUUUGAACCAAUAAAUCAAACAAAAACUCACAAAACCCUAGAAUCUCACAAUUAGGGUUGAGGCUUACUCUAGGGUUUGCUCCAAAGCAAGCCCUAGCUUGAGGAAGAGGAGGGAGAGAAGCUUCUUCUUCUCCUCCUUGAUCUUCUCCUUCUUCUUCUCUUUCUUUCUCUCCUUUUCUUCUUCUUCUUUUCUUUCUUUCCCUUUUUCGGUUUAGAGAGAGAGAGCUAAGUGAGAGGGAGAGAGAACGGCUAAGAGGGAGUGAGAGAGUGGCUGAGAGAGAGGGGAUAUAACCCUCUAUUGUAACAAAAUUCCAAAAGCCCCCUCAAAAAUCUAUUUUUCCAACUUGACCUGCAGUUUCGGGUCCCUUGUACCGGUACACGGUUUCUUGUACCGGUACAAGGCCUGGCAGACAGCUCAACCCGAGGCUCGGUUUCUCGGUUGCGCAGGGCUUGUACCGGUACAAGACCCCUUUGUACCGGCACAAGGUCUGGCAGCCUCCAACCCGAGAGCCUGCGAUGGUUGUACCGGUACAACCAUCACUCUUGUACCGGUACAACAGCUCCAGAAUGCUGUUUUCACAUCUCUUCGGCUCUAUUUCGCGCCGUUUGAUGUCAAAACCAAUCCAACACCUUUGGAACUCAUUUUAGCUCUUCCAAACCCUUCAAUUGCCCACUUUGGUCCAUUUGGCCAAAGUUAGCCAAAUUCCAUCGAGAUUCAAUAUCUCACAUCUAUCUAGCAUGAAUAUGUAUGAUUUUUUAUUUUACAAUAAAGGCAAUGACAUAGGAGUUCACACAUUUCGGUGAGGUCAAACCCACCAGAUACCCGUCGAAUCCCCUUCGUUUGCGCGAACGAGUAUGCCCACUAGUCGCCUAGCUCCUAACAAAAAUUCUAAGACAGUUAGGGGUUCCGAACGAAUACCCCACAAGAUCCACAAAAUUCAACCCAUAAAUAGGUAGAAAAUUACCUUAAAUUGUGAAGAAUCCAAACUUCAAAUGAGAGCUAGAACACUUCUAAUCCAACUUAUAGGAAGGCAUUAGAACAAACAAUUUAGCCCCUAAGGCCCUAGCAAGAAAAUCUCCAAAAUAAAACCCUAGUUUCCAAAACUAGGUUUCCAUCUCAAAAAGACCCCUAAAAAAGAUGUAGUCUGCAACUGCACUGCGUACCGGUACGCGGGCUGGAGUACCGGUACCCAACAGCUGAGCUCGCAAACCCGAGCCUCUGUCAAUUGGACAGACUGCAGUGUACCGGUACUUGUGCGAUGCAGUACCUAUUCCAGGCUCCAGUAUCGGUACUCGGGCGAUGCAGUACCGGUACUCUGCCUCGCAAAGCUCAAACCAAAGAGUACCCCUCUCGGUUACGCGAUGUGGUUCUGGUACCCCUUCUCUGGUACUGGUAUCCAGCACCCUAAAACCUACACUUUGGAGGUUUUGGUGCUAAGUACCCACUCUUGCUUCUCAAGACGCGAGUAAACAGGUCGGAACAUAGUCAACGACCCUCACAUACUGUCACGCCCCAACCGCACACCCGAAACUAUUUGGUCCGGUUCGAAAGCGGCGGGCGUGAGGCCGAACGGACAGAGUCUCCCCUGUGCGCCUAAGGCUAACCAACGAGAUUGUGCACAACAAGUCCCCAGGAAAAACAACUUGAUUUCAUACACAAUCGAAAGAACGAUAACACAAACAGUACUGUUAAAACCAUCAAGAGCAAACGAUACUAGUAAAAGCAUAUAAGUAUACAAAAGAGAGAAACUUAACUAUUUGAACCAUGAAACUAGAAGUAUUUAAAUACAACUUGCAUUAAACUUCAUUUAAACCUUCAUACAUGUUUUUCCAUAUUUUCCAUAAUGAAAAUACAUCCAAAAACUCUCCAAAACCUCACCCUAUACAACACCUACUCUCAAAAUAUAAAGACAGGGUGGAGCUAAUGCAAGUAGGAAGUAAGCUACCAACUGAUACCGCUAGGGCGCCAAGCCAUCGCCGCGAUCCUCCCGCUCGGUCGGGACACUCGAACUAGUGCUUGCAACAACGGGUGUGAGAAUUACGAAUAGUUCCCAGUGGGUUCGGCCGCCGACUCCACCGAUCUACCCACUAGGUCGAAGCAGGCAUAGAGAGAUAUAUGCAAUAUAUAUAUAAAGCUAAACCAACUAAAAGCAGGUAUGAAAAUUAAGCAAGUAAGGAAAUGUAAGCAAGUAGGUAGAAUCAUGAAUAUCUAGUUAUGCCUCAAUCUGAUAUCAUGCAUGCAUGAACAACAGAUAAAGCUGGGUAGUAAGCUACUAUGAACAACAACAACAAGUAAGCUAAAAUGAACAACCAUAGAGAAGCUACUACAACAACAAAUAAUGAGUGUGACUCAAUAGGUUACCCAAUUUCAUGGUGAACUCGAGGUUCACAAGCAUAACUCAUGUGUAAGUCUCAUAGGGAAAGUCUCACUGAACUACUCCCGAGACCGCCUGCGGACAGUACACAGACCGUCCAGACAGCACACUGACUGUCCCUCUAGUGACCAACCUCCGGAGUGCACAGCUUGCGGGGAGCGACCCCUCCAAGCGCAGACAGGCUAUGUGAGCACGAUCAACUCACGACCAACAGCAUUCUACCCUCUAAGGGUAAUCUCAUCUUAGAAUCAUGGUGUUCUAAUACUCAAUCUCAUAGUGUUUCAGCUACACUAGGGUUCUCAUGUCAUAAGCGAUCAACAAUCAUAUGCCACUUGUCAUAGUUUUCUAUGUUAGAUGCCACUUGCCAUUUUGACUCGUUAUCAACACUAGUUACAUUAUACUAGUUCUUUAACAACAUAAGCAUUAAUCAUCUCAUAUAGGGUCUAGGUUUUCAUCAUAUAGUUUUCAUGCAUACAAUUAGGUUUCCGACCCAUCAAAAUAGAUUAAAACCCUAUAUGCCCAAAAAUCCCAAAAUCCAACCCUAGGUUUAGCACCCACGGAAAAUAAUAGUUUCUAGCUUUAUUGUGAGCUAGAUCCAUACCCUCUAAACUCAUUAGGUUCCAUUUGAACCAUUAAAAACAACAAAAAGCUCCCAAACCCAAGAAAUCACAAGUUAGGGUUGAGGCUUACCUCUAGGGUUUGCUCCAAAGCAAGCCCUAGCUUGAGGAAGAGGAGGGAGAGAAGCUUCUUCUUCUUUUUCUUGAUCUUCUCCUUCCUUUCCUUCUUCUUCUCUUUCUUUCUCUCCUUCUUUUCUUCUUCUUCUUCCAUUUUUCGGUUUAGAGAGAGAGAGAGAGCUAAGUGAGAGGGAGGGAGAGAAGCUAAGAGUGAGAGAGAGGCUGAGAGAGAGAGGUAUACAAAGUCUCUAAUGUAACAAAAUCCCAAAAAGCCGCUCUAUUUUCUAAUUUCCAAAGCAGACCCACUGUUUAGGGUCCAUUGUACCGGUACACGGUUUCUUGUACCGGUAUAAGGCCUGGGUGACAGCCAAACCCGAGCGCUCGGUUUCUCGGUUUCAUAGGGCUUGUACCGGUACAAGGCCCCCUUGUACCGGUACAAGGUCUUGCAGCUCCAACCCGAGAGCUGCGAUGGUUGUACUGGUACAACCAUCACUCUUGUACCUGUACAACAGCUCCAGAAUGCUGUUUUUCUCUUCUCUUCGGCUCUACUUCGCGCCGGUCGAUGUCAAAACCAUUCCAACACCUUUGGAACUCAUUUUUGCUCUUCCAAACUUGUUGGAACCUCGAAUAGAACUUGUCCAAACCGUUCAAUUCCCCACUUUGGUCCAUUUGGCCAAAAUUAGCCAAAUUCCAUCGAGUUUCAAUAUCUCACAUUCUCCACCCCUUAAAAGGAGUUUCGUCCUCGAAACAACUCAACUCAUAAUUCGAACAAAACUCUUACCUCAAUCCUCGAACAAGUGAGGAUGAUUCGCUUUCAUCUCGUCCUCGAGUUCCCAAGUGGCUUCGCGAUCGUCGUGAUUGCUCCACCGAACUUUAACAUAGGGGAUUUCUCGAUUCCUUAGCUUGCGCACCUCCCGAGCUAAAAUCUCCACUGGAAACUCUUCAUAGCUCAUAUCAUCCUGAAGCUCCGGCGGCUCAUAAACUAGAACAUGCUCGGGAUCAUGCAUGUACUUGCAAAGAUUGGAGACGUGGAAGACAUUGUGCACUCCCGCAAGUUUCGGGGGCAAGGCAAGUCGGUACGCCACCAUCCCAAUUCGCUCCAAGAUCUCGUAGGGGCCAAUAUAACGAGGACUUAGCUUUCCUCGCUCCCCAAACCUUUUCACGCCUCGCAUCAGCGAAACCUUCAAAAACACGCGGUCACCCACCGCGAACUCCAAAUCUCUACGACGUUUAUCUGAAUAGCUUUUCUGUCGCGACUGCGCCGUGAGCAACCUUUUGCGAGCAAGUUGGACUUUCUCCUCCGCCUCCCGCAAAACAUCCGGACCAAACUCAACUCGCUCGCCUACAUCACUCCAAUAAAUGGGAGAUCGACACUUCCGCCCGUAGAGAGCCUCGAACGGUGCCAUUCCCACGCUAGCAUGAUAACUGUUGUCAUAGGCGAACUUGUCACGCCCCCGCCCCGGGGCCGCUACCGAUUUGGCACGGUUCGGGCGCGGCAAGCGGACCGCCAAACGGACAGAGUCUCCCCUGUCCGCCCAAGGCUCAAAUGACGAGAUUGUGUACAACAAGUUCCCAGGAAAACACUUGAAUACAUAUACAAUUAUACAACAACUAAAGCACGAACAGUGCUGAACAUUACAAGAGCAAGCGUCACAAGUAGUAGACAUACAAGUGAAACAAAAGAGAGAUACUUAACUAUUCUAUUACAACCAUUCUACUUGAUACAUUUAAUUACAACUUGCAUUCUUUUCCAAAAUAUGAAUAUAAGCGUACAUUCUUCAAAAGAUAACAUUAGUUUACAUUUAUCUCAAAAUACCUCACAUCCUAUACAUCAUCUACUCUCAAUACAUGUAUAGGGUAACUCUAAUGCAAAAUAGGAAAGUAAACUACCAACUAGCAUUAGGGCGCUAAGCCUAUAACGCGAUCUUCUGCCGAUCCGCUCUCGUGUGUACCUGUACCCCAAAACCACACGGGGUGAAAACUAUAUAAAUAUAGUUCCCAGUAGGUUCGGCCGCCGACUUCGCCGAUCUUCCCACUAGGUCCAAGCUGGCACAGAUAGAUAGAUAGAAAGAUAUAUGGAAAUACUACUACUAUAUCUAUUAUGCCAUCAAAUGCAAAGUAUGCAUGGAACAUCAUCUAGCAACAACCUACCAUCAUGCUAGUAUGCCUCUACAGUGAAAUAAAUACAACAACAACAUAGUUAUGCAGUGUACUAUGUCUAAUCAUGGUAUGAAUGCAAUACUCUUAAGCUAUUCAUGUUAUUACCCAAUCUGCUAGGCUACUUUGCCUAAGAUCUCAAAUCUAGUAGGUGAAAAGCUACCUCAUUCUUGUCUCAUUCGAUUCAUGUCUUAAGGGUCCUGAGCAAAGAGCUACCCCGCUCCUCGCCCGACUUAGAUCUCGAAGGUCCGACCCAAUCUCGAAGGUCCUAGGCAAAGAGCUACCCCACUCCUUGCCCGACUCACAUCUCAAAGUCCUAGGCAAAGGCUACCCCGCACUUUGCCCGACUCACAUCUCGACCUACUAGGUACAGGGCUACUCCACUCAAAUCUCAUAGGUGAAGGAAUAGUAUAUCAUGAAUGCAUGAGCAAUAAGUAAGCUACUAUGAACACUAGUAAGCUACUAUGAACAACACAACAACUAUGGAAGCGAGCUAUCAUGAACAACGAUAAUGAGUAUGACUCAAUAGGUAACCAAAUCUCAUGGUGAACUCGGGGUUCACGAACAUAUCUCACGUGUAAG
rnacentral:lncRNA from 1 species